UACGUAGGGUGCAAGCGUUAAUCGGAAUUACUGGGCGUAAAGCGUGCGCAGGCGGUUAUGUAAGACAGUUGUGAAAUCCCCGGGCUCAACCUGGGAACUGCAUCUGUGACUGCAUAGCUAGAGUACGGUAGAGGGGGAUGGAAAUUCCGGCGUGUAGCAGUGAAAUGCGUAGAUAUGCGGAGGAACACCGAUGGCGAAGGCAAUCCCCGUGGACCUGUACUGACGCUCAUGCACGAAAGCGUGGGGAGCAAACAG
rnacentral:rRNA from 1 species